rnacentral:rRNA from 1 species
AGUGAUCGCUGGCGGUAGGCCUAACACAUGCAAGUAGAACGAGUGGCGGACGGGUGAGGAAUACAUCGGAAUCUACUCUGUCGUGGGGGAUAACGUAGGGAAACUUAAGCUAAUACCGCAUACGAUUGGAUGAGCCGAUGUCGGAUUAGCUAGUUGGCUGGGUAAAGGCCCACCAAGGCGACGCUCCGUAACUGGUCUGAGAGGAUGAUCAGUCACACUGGCACUGAGACACGGUCCAGACUCCUACGUGAGGCAGCAGUGGGGAAUAUUGGACAAUGGGCGAAAGCCUGAUCCAGCCAUGCCGCGUGUGUGAAGAAGGUCUUCGGGUUGUAAAGCCCUUUACGUUGGGAGGCGUUAUCAACAGAAUAAGCACCGGCUAACUUCGUGCCAGCAGCCGCGGUAAUUC